UACGUAGGUGGGAAGCGUUGUCCGGAAUUAUUGGGCGUAAAGCGCGCGCAGGCGGCCCCUUAAGUCUGAUGUGAAAGCCCACGGCUCAACCGUGGAGGGUCAUUGGAAACUGGGGGACUUGAGUGCAGGAGAGGAAGGUGGAAUUCCACGUGUAGCGGUGAAAUGCGUAGAGAUGUGGAGGAACACCAGUGGCGAAGGCGACUUUCUGGCCUGUAACCGACGCUGAGGCGCGAAAGCGUGGGGAUCAAACAGG
rnacentral:misc_RNA from 1 species